CCAAGAAAAAUCCCACAGCCUUAUUUCUGAAAAUAUAAUACAAACAAAAUCCCAACACUUUAAUUAAAAAAUCCCAAAAUCUUGGGAUAAAAUCCCAAAGUUGACCGGCAACACUGAGAGUGGACAUUGCGGGAAAAGUCGAGGGAUAAAUUGAAGCUAUGGAGGCCAAUUUACGCUAUUUGAUUGGUUAAAAUCUCGUUCCCCGGAUGAAUAUAGUUGCGAUAUUUAGGUACAGCGACCGAAAUAAUAUCACUUUGAAAAUAUCGAUUUAUUGCAGUUUUAGUGGCGUAUAGUUAAAACAAGUAUCAAUGGACCAUUCCCCAAUUAACCAAAAUUUUGAUCUCAACAAGUCUAGAAAUGCAUGAAAGAGCAUCACAAAAUUAGUAAUAUUCCAAAGUUUCGUUGCGAAAUGUUGUAAAUUGCGGAUAAUAUAUAGCCUUGCGAAAUUUGCAAUUUUCAGUCAUUUUAGAUUACAAACGGGAAAUGGUUACCACUUUUCCCAAAUUUUGAUCUUAACUAGCCUAAACAAAAAUUUCAUCACAACUUGAAAGAGCAUCACAAAAUUAGUAAUAUUCCAAAAUUCCGUUGCAAAAUGUUAUAAAAUGCGGAUAAUAUAGCCUUGCGAAGUUUGUAAUUUUCAGUCAUUUUGUAUUACGCACAGAAGUGGUAA